CUGCCCCUCGACUUACGGCCUUUACGCUACGACUACUGUGAUGUGAGCGGUUCAAAUUGGUUUGAUCUUUCCCA
rnacentral:tRNA from 1 species